AUCAAAGUGGUGAAAUUGGUAAACUCGUUACACUUAGGAUGUAAAGCUUUAAAGCAUUAAGGGUUCAAGUCCCCUUCUUUGAUA
rfam:Pythium ultimum DAOM BR144 ctg_1117875574380, whole genome shotgun sequence.